CACCGAUCUGAAAAUUAUGGAUGGGUGUGAGAUGCACCUAGGUACUCCAGGAGUUUAAGACCAAUACACACAAUAAUGACAUAAGGUCAACAUUGUAAAAGACAGUCAUCAAAUGACAGAAGUCCCUUCUUAACAGCUAAGCUGGAAGAUGUCUUGAUCUAGAAUAAUGUCUCUGGAUUCAAGAAUAAGGACUUCUGCUAAGGAAAAAGUCAGACUUUGGAAACUGCGGAAGGAAAGUUGAACGAGUUAGCUUUCUGCUACACAAAAAGCUAAUGAGAAUUCUAAACAUCACAGUGGUGUCUGUUGUAUGGCAGCAAAGUUGCGCCAUUACUGAUAUUCAGUGGAAAUGAAGGUGACUAGUAUGGGCCUUUGUGAAGCACACUACUACUUGGGAAGCUCAAUGAGGCACAGAGACCACCUGGGUUCCUCUAUUCAUUAUGUAUAUUCAUUCGGUUCAGAGAAAACCAAUUCUAAGAGAGAAUUCUUUUAUGCUCUAUAUUUUGUUACUACUGUAUAGCUUUUCUGUACUUAAAAACAAGGGAUUUUUGUUUUCUUGGGUUGAGAUGACUCCCUAGAGCACAGUUGCAUUUGUGGUGACCUAAUAAUGAUACUUACAUAGAGUCCAAGGAAUAAACUGUCACUGAAGAUGAAGUAAUUGGACAGAACUGGAUAGGGUCAAUGACUGGUCACCUCAGACACAAUUAUUAGGUCUACAUCUGACAUGCUUGCUGUGAAGUCUGAUUCCCCAAAGAACAGAUGAUCCACUGCUGACCAGAGAAGCUCAAGAACAAGUGGCACUAGUUUCCAGACUCAUCUAUGGUGUAGAGAAGACUGAGCACAUAUCUGAGCCAAACAAUACUGACCUUUGGAUCAUUCCGCAGGAGCUUAAUGGAAGACUUUCUUCUAAAUACCAAGAAAAGGAGCUAUUUGGCCGUCCAUGUCAUUACCAAAGCAAAGCAAGAACCUUCAGCACAGACUGCUGCAGUUUCCACCCUAACAGUGAACCCAACAAUUAAAACCAUUUGUUACAAGGACAACAAAACAAGUCAUUUUCUUUUUUUAUUUUAAAGAGAAGAUAAAUAAACAAUGAAACCAAGUUUUGAAACAGGUUAGUGGGACAAUAGUUGAUACAUUGCAUAUUGUUG
rnacentral:lncRNA from 1 species